rnacentral:rRNA from 1 species
CCUACGGGAGGCAGCAGUGAGGAAUAUUGGUCAAUGGACGAGAGUCUGAACCAGCCAAGUAGCGUGAAGGAUGACUGCCCUAUGGGUUGUAAACUUCUUUUAUAUGGGAAUAAAAUGUUCCACGUGUGGGAUUUUGUAUGUACCAUAUGAAUAAGGAUCGGCUAACUCCGUGCCAGCAGCCGCGGUAAUACGGAGGAUCCGAGCGUUAUCCGGAUUUAUUGGGUUUAAAGGGAGCGUAGGUGGAUUGUUAAGUCAGUUGUGAAAGUUUGCGGCUCAAACGUAAAAUUGCAGUUGAAACUGGCAGUCUUGAGUACAGUAGAGGUGGGCGGAAUGCGUGGUGUAGCGGUGAAAUGCUUAGAUAUCACGAAGAACCCCGAUUGCGAAGGCAGUUCACUGGACUGCAACUGACACUGAGGCUCGAAAGUGUGGGUAUCAAACAGGAUUAGAUACCCUAGUAGUC